UGCCUUCCUCUUGUCUCAACUGCAAA
rnacentral:piRNA from 1 species